UUACCGCGGCUGCUGGCACGUAGUUAGCCGGUGCUUAUUCUGCAGAUACCGUCAGCAGCAUCCCGUAUUAGGGGAUGCCUUUUCUUCUCUGCCAAAAGUACUUUACAACCCGAAGGCCUUCAUCAUACACGCGGGAUGGCUGGAUCAGGGUUUCCCCCAUUGUCCAAAAUUCCCCACUGCUGCCUCCCGUAGGAGUCUGGACCG
rnacentral:rRNA from 1 species